ACGGGGCGCAGCAGGCGCGAAACCUCUGCAAUAGGCGAAAGCUUGACAGGGUUACUCUGAGUGAUUUCCGUUAAGGAGAUCUUUUGGCACCUCUAAAAAUGGUGCAGAAUAAGGGGUGGGCAAGUCUGGUGUCAGCCGCCGCGGUAAUACCAGCACCCCGAGUGGUCGGGACGUUUAUUGGGCCUAAAGCAUCCGUAGCCGGUUCUACAAGUCUUCCGUUAAAUCCACCUGCUUAACAGAUGGGCUGCGGAAGAUACUAUAGAGCUAGGAGGCGGGAGAGGCAAGCGGUACUCGAUGGGUAGGGGUAAAAUCCGUUGAUCCAUUGAAGACCACCAGUGGCGAAGGCGGCUUGCCAGAACGCGCUCGACGGUGAGGGAUGAAAGCUGGGGGAGCAAACCGGAUUAGAUACCCGGGUAGUCCCAGCUGUAAACGAUGCAGACUCGGUGAUGAGUUGGCUUAUUGCUAACUCAGUGCCGCAGGGAAGCCGUUAAGUUUGCCGCCUGGGGAGUACGGUCGCAAGACUGAAACUUAAAGGAAUUGGC
rnacentral:rRNA from 1 species